UAGAUGCCGAAUCGAGGAAAUCCGGGAAACCUCGGUUGCUGCUAGCGAUGGGUGUAUAUUGUCAGUCCAUUGUUGACUCUCUGAGUUUCCCACUUGAUUCAAUUCAGAGAUAUUUGGACUGGGUUCACCUAAUUGCUUACGAUUACCAUCUCCCCACCAGGGAAAAGUUUGCCCUCCCUCAUGCUGCUUUAUUUGACCCCGCAAGCCAUAACAACACAGAUUUCUGCAUAACUUGGUUGCUGACUAGAGGAUUUCCUGCAAGAAAGCUGGUGCUGGGCUUGCCCUACCAUGGCUAUGCUUGGCAGCUCGAGGAUUCGAGCGGCGAUGCCAUUGGCCAUCCAGCGGUGGGCCCUGCUGAGACGGCAGAUGGGGCAUUUGCAUACAAGGCCAUCAAAUCAUUUAUCCAAGAUUUUGGUUACGGAGCCAGUUCUGUUUAUAAUGGUACAUAUGUGGUGAACUUUUACAGCAAGGGGUUGGUAUGGAUCAAUUUCGAUGAUGUGGAGGCCAUUCGAGCCAAAGUAACUUAUGCCAAAGAAAAGGGGCUUCUUGGUUACAGUGUGUUUCAGAUUAACAGCGAUCAGAACUGGGUUCUUUCCAGGACAGGUUAGGAUAAGUACCUCAAAGGAAUUCUUGAUGACGGUUUUAAAAUAUUAUUGUAUUGAAAAUGUAGAACUAAAUGCAAUUCAUGGACUUAACUGCCUUGUCAGCUCAAGAAGCCGGUGAAGAUCAGCAAGAANNNNNNNNNNNNNNNNNNNNNNNNNNNNNNNNNNNNNNNNNNNNNNNNNNNNNNNNNNNNNNNNNNNNNNNNNNNNNNNNNNNNNNNNNNNNNNNNNNNNAUUUGGCCUGAUAUGCUACUUACAGAGGAGAACAUUGAAAUCAGAAGGUACAUUUUCUGAAGUUCAUUGGAGGAUUGCUAUAUCUCUGUAGUAAUUGGGAACAUUGACUCAGGAUUCAGCAAACAUUCUAGAUUUAUUUUCUUUGUGUUGAUUCUCAGGUAUUUCAGGUGUAAUAAAAGGAUUUAGUAGGCAAUUAAAGACUAUGGUGUGUAAAGGAGAAAAUCUUGAGAGCAGUGCUCCUAAGCUGCAAACAUUUGGUUAUGCCACCCUCAGAGCAGCAACUGAUAACUUCUCGAGUGAAAAUAAGAUUAGAGAGGGUGGAUUUGGACCUGUUUACAAGGUAGGCCUUACUAAAGCUAAUGAUUUCCUUUUUGUUUCAUUUGCAAAUCAUAUGAAGCAUGAUUAAGUGCCAAAUUCGGUCCUUUUGCUCAAUAAUAUGUGUUUGUAGUGUUCAAAUGUGAGCAAGGAAAAUAACUCACCCCCUUUUUCAUACUCCUUUUGCUUAAGAAUAUGUGGCCUUUUCCGUGUAUGGACUUGACUUAAUACUGAGAAUGUAAAAGUAAUGGGACCUUCCUACCAUUGCUACGAGAGAGCAGAUAUUUCCAUAUGUUGAUUGAAGGUAUGUCAGCUUUAUCUCCAGCAGCUAGCAGCUGGUUAGUUUAUACCCACAAUUUCAAUCACUUAGUUGGAAUCAACCAGAGAGUACAUCCCAUUAAGGUACAUGUCCCCUCUAAUUAAGCAGAAAGAUUUGGCAUCACAACCCAACACGAUAAGCUUGAUAUAUUUAGAGAUGCAGCAUAGGUUUCUUUAUGAUGUGUGUGAGCUUGUAAGUUUCAUUAUAGGAGGUUGGACUUGGAUGCAUUCUGCUCAAGUUCUGUUUUUCCUUUAUAAUCCUUGGCUUAUGUUACUUGUGUCAUAGACAAAAAACUGUCUUCCAGCAUAAACAGUGAAGUUUAGUUCCGAGUCUAGCGUGUUCAAGUGGAAGUCAGUUGCCCUGUACUGACCAUCGGCAUCCCUGUUGCUCAGGGCAAGUUGCGUAAAGGACGGGAAAUUGCAAUAAAGAGACUUUCGAAAACUUCGAACCAAGGGCCCGAGGAGUUCCAGAACGAAGUUAUGCUUGCCGUCAUCCUGCAACACGUCAACCUCGUUCGCCUUCUUGGAUUUUGCACUGACAGGAAAGAAAAGAUGCUGGUCUAUGAGUUCAUGCCAAAUAAGAGCUUGGACUUCUACCUAUUUGGUCAGACGUCUUUCAUGCUUCUCACAAUAGUCAUUAAGCAGAACUCCGAUGUUUUCAAGUAACAUCUAGUGUGAUACUCCAAAAGGCUUAAAUGGGUCCCCAGUUCUGCUACAAUGGCUAGCGGAGGCAGACCCUUUUAAGCAUUUGGAGUACACAAAGGUGCGCAAUGCUCUAAUUUCGCUUCCGGUUCUAAUAAUCUUCAGGUUUUAAUGAUGCAGAUCCAAUAAAGAAAUAUUCGCUGGAUUGGGUGAAACGUGUUCAUAUCAUAGAAGGCAUUACACAGCGGUUUCUUUAUCUCUACGAAUACUCGAAUUUCACAAUAAUUCAUCGAGACUUGAAAGCCAGCAAUGUUCUGCUGGAUGAUGAAAUGAACCCCAAGAUAUCAGAUUUUGGUAUGGCGAGAAUAUUUAAGAAGGAUGACGCCGAGGCAAAUACUAACCGAAUUGUAGGGACUUAGUAAGCGAGCUAACUAGGCCCUCCUUGUUUUACCUCACAGAUAUUCACUCCUGCUUAAACCAAUUUUUGUUCUUGUAUACAGUGGGUACAUUCCGCCAGAAUAUGUGAGGAAAGGCAUAUACUCAAUGAAGUAUGAUGUCUACAGCUUUGGGGUACUGCUGUUGCAAAUCAGUGGUAAAAGGACCUCAUGUUACUACGGCCUGGAUGAAAAUCUGAAUCUUCUCGAUUACGUAAGUAGAGAUUAUUUGUGAUUCGAAAUUUUCCAGGCUCCAAUUUAGGAACAUGAAUUUUGACUUUUAACCAACUAGCAUUCUUAAUUUUAGGCAUAUGAGCAGUGGAAAGACGAUAAAUGCAUGGAGUUCGUUGAUCCGUCUCUUGAUGACUCUUCAUCAUCCUGUAAGCUCUUGAGAUGCAUUCAAGUGGCUCUUCUAUGCGUGCAAGAGAAGGCUGGGGACAGGCCCUCCAUGUUGGAAGUCUCUUCAAUGCUCAAGAAUGAAUUUUCAGCUGUGAACUUCCCCAAGAAGUCUGCAUUUUCAAUUAAGAAGGAUGAAGAUGAAGAUAAGGAUGACAAGUGCUUGCUCCAGGAGGCAAUGCCUUCAGUCAAUGAUGCAUCGAUUUCUGAAUUGUUUCCUCGCUGAUUAUACCUUGCAGGUAUCCAUACCAUAGAGAGAAUCUUCUGUUAAAUUAUUUGGUUGCCCGGUACUUCGUUUGGCCCGGGAAAGGUUUUUCAAAAAGAAUAAAGAAACAUAGAUGAGUUGUUGCAUUAUUUUCCCAAUUUUAAUGGUUGACAUUUUCUUAUGUCUGUAUAUAUUUUUAUCCUCUAGAGGCCGUCCCUUGUUCAUUCUUGUGUCUUGUAACCUAUUAAACGAUGAAUAACCCUCAGGUAUAUAGGCUCUGGGGUCUUCAAGCUACAAUUGUCACUUGGAUCUUGAUUACUUUUCUUUUUAUUCCGUUUAUUUUUUACUCUGUCUUGUCCCUGUUCUUGAUGGAUUAGUGAUGAAAAAAAUCAAAUAGACUAACCCGUAGAAUAGGGUCAAGGUGGCCUUCUUUUUAUCUCCGAGAAAACCAAUCUCUUUGAGUCCACGAAUCUUAUAAAUAGAUAAGUCCAGAGUCAAAAUUCAAACAAGAUUGUUCGCGCCGAUGAUGCUGUUCUUACAUUAUACCGGCGUUCUUUGACACCAACCCCGUCGAGCCGUCUCCAUGAUACCGAAACAAAAAAAAAAAAAAAAAAAAACUCAAGAGAUCAGCAAAGUCUGAAACUUGUGCAGCGGUUCGGCCAUAAGAUAAGCGGUUCAUAUCCAUUUGACCGCAUCAAACUCAGUCACCCACCAUUCCAAACAAGUAAAUAUUCAAACGCAGCUUUGUUUUUCACGUAUAGAUCCUAGAACAGCUCUUGUCCAGCUGCCACUUGUCCUUCUCUCAGGCGACUAAGCACGCCUGCAGACGCUCGCUUAUGCGAGACAAACGUUGAAUUGUUUCUGCCUUUCUGUUUCCCCGUUUGUCUCGUUAGGAAUUGUUCAUAUGCUAAAGUGGGUAAUCGAAAGGGCAGUUUAUUCGUAAAGGAAAACCAUUUGGCCUCACUUUGUAACUCGAGAAAUGUCACUGUAAUCAGUCGUGUUACAUCUCCUUAGCAAUUAUCGAAUUUGACCUAUGCUUGUAGACAAUGAACAGGGGGGAAACUUUUUGGGAUUGUUCAUUACUCUCGUACUUAUCAAACAAGUACGAUUCGAAAUUAGCACAAGAAAUUCUUGUUUCAAAGCUAGACCAAUUAAAUAUCUACCUUGAACCAAAUAGGAUUUUUGUAAACAUUUUUAGAUUGUUAGGUGAUUUGUGUGAUGCCAUGAAUAUAUACAAAUUACUUCGGAAUGGUCUUAUUAAUAAUGGUUUGUUUGUACAGUUUUUAACCAAGUGACAAAUCUAGACAAAAUUUGGUAAUAUCUCCCAAGAAACAACACCUCUGUAAUAGUCUUAUUAAUAAUGGUUUGUCUAUAUAGUUUUUGACCAUGUAACAAGCCUAGACAAGAACUUGGUAAUAGGGAAAAGUGUUAAAAAAAGUCAUAAACCAUUUGUAUUAGUGUCAAUUUGGUCAUAAACCUUUUUUUUUUGUACUAAUUAAGUCCUAAACAUUUUUACGUUGUGUCAAUUCAGUCUUUUCCAAUCAAUUUUGGCCGGAUUUUGCUGAUUAGAUACCGGCCGGCUAACAUGGCCUAAUCAGUGCUAACGUAGACAACUUUUAAUAAUAUUUUAAUAUUUUCAAAUAUUUUUUCUUUUCUUUUCUUUUCCUUCUCCUUCUUCUUCCUUUAGCCAGUCACCUUGACCUCGCUGGCCACCUUGCUAGUGGUCGCGAGGGCAGCCUCGCACUAGGCAGCAAGGCUCGCCCUCGCCUCCUCGAUGCGAGACCGCCCUCAAGGCCUAGGCAGCGAGGCUCGCCCUUGCUGGAUCUGGAGAGGGUUGAGCCUCGCCCAUGGCAGCAUCGAGCGGGCAAGCCUCAUCGGCAAUGGUUGAGGCUCGACCCUCGCCAGAUCUAGUGAGGGCGAGUCUCGCCGCCCAGCACGAGGCUGCCCUCGCGGCCACUAGUGAGGAAGGAGAAGGAGAAGUAAAAAAUAAUAAAAAUAUUCUAAAAUAUUCUAAAAAAUUAAAAUAUUAUUAAAAGUUGUCCACGUCAGCACCAAUCAGGCCACGUCAGCUGGCCAACGUCCAGUCAGCAAAAUCUGGCCAAAAUUGGUCGGAAAGAACUAAAUUGGCACAACGUAAAAAGGUCUAGAACCUAAUUGGCACAAAAAAAUGGUUUAUAACUAAAUUGGCACAAAUACAAAAGAUUUAGGACUUUUUUAACACUUUUCCCUUGGUAAUAUCACCCAAGAAACCUUGUUUAGCUUCUCAAAAUCUAUGGGAGGCACAUCAGGACAAAACUAAACCGUCCAAAACUAAACCUUAAGCUAACCAUUAUCUCCCUAUAAAAAUGCACUUUCCAAUCAAACACCAAUGAUCUAAAUGCAUUUGAUCAUAUGCCCUCUUGAAAAAGAAAUGGUAAAGUCCACCCUUUUGCCUUUCCUUUGCAUGGUCUUCUUCUUGCUCAUGGCCAUGCCUUCCAUUGAUGCAACAGCUUCAUCAUCAUCAUCAUUUUCACUAUUAAAGGAUCUUAUUACACUUCCUGGACACAGGAUUUCACCCCAUCAGACAGAGACACAACUUUGUUCACUCACAUCUUCUAUGCUUUCCUCUCCCCAAGCAACAUCACCUUCAAGUUCGAGCUCUCGGAGUCGACGGCAGUGGCUCUUUCGAACUUCACGAGCACCCUCCGUUUUGCGAGCACACCAGUCAAGACCCUCCUCUCCAUUGGCGGUUCUGGAGACGUUCCAACCGCGCUCUUGGCCGAGAUAGCUUCAUGCCCUUCCUCAAGAAAAGUCUUCAUCAAUUCUUAAGGGAGGUUGCAAGGAAGUUUGGGUUUGAUGGGCUUGACCUUGACUGGGAAUGGCCUAAAAACCCAAAGGAGAUGGUUGAUUUGGCCCACUUGUUGAGGGAAUGGAGGCUUGAGAUCAUCGAAGAGGCCCGAGCCACCGAGCAGCCCCCGCUAUUGUUAACCGCGGCGGUGUACUUCGCCUCCAGCUUCUUCCUCAAUGCGGUGUACCGCAUGUACCCCGUGGCAGCCAUUAGGAAGAAUUUGGACUGGAUCAACGCCAUGUGCUACGAUUAUCAUGGGGCGUGGAACCCCUCUGCCACGGGCGCCCAAGCCGCAUUCUUCGACCCAAAGAGCAAUCUGAGCUAGAUCCACGGGCUCAAGUCUUGGCUACAGGCAGGGCUGCCCGCAAAGCAGGUGGUCAUGGGCUUGCCCCUUUACGGAAGGUCGUGGGAGCUCAAGGACCCAAACGUCACCGAGAUCGGCGCCCCGGCAGUGAAGGCGGGCCCUGGGAGCGGCAUGCUUCCUUACUCUGACGUGCAAGUGUUCAAUAGGAAUUAUAGCGCCACCGUGGUAUACGACACGGAGACGGUGUCGACCUACUCCUUCGCCUGGACAUCUUGGGUCAGUUACAAUGACGUUGCCUCAGCGAUGGUGAAGAUUGGAUUGGCACAAGCCCUUGGGCUUCGGGGAUAUUUCUUCUGGGCCCUCGGUUAUGAAACUAAAUGACAAAUAUCAUCCUAAGGUAUGACAUUUAUGUCCACUCAAAAAUGUGUGCUUUGGUAAUAUUAAAGCACCAUUUUGAAGGUUUUGACGGAAAAAAAAUUAUUUUAGAGUUCUAAUCUUUAAUUGGAAUUUUUAUUUUGGAUUUGUCUUAUGCAGCAUCCAGAGAGCAGAUUCUUGAUGAUUGAAGAUUCAACCUUUGUAACUCUUGCAUAUCUCCAGCGACUUCAAGUUUACUGGAAGCUCUUCAAGACUUCAAGUCAUAUACAUUUCUCAUUAUUCAUCCACCUAUGUAAUCUCGGGCAGCACCGAAGCCGAAUUAAGAUUUUUUUUAUAACAACCGUACAUGACGGAUUUAAUGCUGAGUUGUUUUUACUUUGAUUUGAUUCUGUAAUCUAACUUGUUUGAGUUGUUUUUAGAUGUUAUCUGUUGAAAGAAUCCCGGCACCGUUGUUUCUCUUCUAUUUAUAAUAUAUGAACUUCUUCGAACGGAAUGGUAUUAAUUCAAAAUUCACUGCAUUUAUAUCGAUCCAAAGAAGUAUAUUUGAAUCGAUAAUUGGAUCGAUAAGAACAACAACCUGGCAAUCCCCAAAUGAUGGUCUCAGCAGGAGCAUGUGUUUACCCUGUUAAUUUUUAAAGCCUUACAUUUCUCAUGGGACAGGACCCUACUCGAGAAGCGGAUUGGAUUAGAUGAUAUGUUUCUUGGUCGUUUCACGCUAAAAUGGAUACUUGAUGAGCUAAUGAUCCAAAUUUUAGUUGUGUUUUAUCGAUCAAUGCCCUCGUAGCCGUCUGAAAAUACAAAGGAAUGUAGUCCCAUUGCAUGCAUAAUAGAAAAUUAGUUUCCAAACAAAUUUAAUAUUACCUUUAUCCAUUAUACCAAAGGUAUUUUUCUUCUUAGGUUUUGUUUGCUUCACGGAAAAUGAAUAAUUUGAAAAAUAUUUUUCUCAAAAUAAUUGAUUAUGUCGCUUACAACAAUGAAUUAAUAAAAAAUAUUUUCAUCUUGUACAAAAAUGUUUAAACAUAAAUUGUCUUUGAUAAUCAAAAUAGUUUUCAUUAACUAAUUAUUUUAAGCGAUAUAAACUAUUUUUUUCAAACAUUUUUUAAAAUUAUUUAUUUUCCGUGAAAUAAACGGAGUUUUGUAUUACAUUUGUUGAAGUUAGAAUUGAGAACCACGAGCUUGAUUUUUACCUUGCUUGGUAAUCCAUCUGCAGCAUAAGAAUGGGGUCAGGGCAUCCGGGUUUUGUACAUAGAUUGACCCUUUGAUACUUAAGUUAGCAUUGGAAGUGAGGGAAAUUUAGAAGAGAGAGUGUUUAUGAUUUUACUAAGAAUGGUGUAUUUUCAGGAAGAAGUAUGGGAAGAAACAACUCUAAAUGAAUCUCAUAAUAAAAUUUAUGUGUUACUAUUGAUGAGUCAUCGGGUUAUGUUAUACAAGUGAUAGCCUUUAUAUGAUGAGUGGUGAAAGGACAUGACACAUGAUAAUCACACCAUUGUUAGAAUCAAUAAAUAUCUAGCCUUUCAGAUAAUGGUAGAACAUUUGUUUGCUCAAUGAAAUUACAAUAGAAGUGAUAUAUUAUCGAUAUUAGUCUGCCAGGCAAUCAAUUAACCCGUCUAAUAGAAUACUAGUGAAUUGUCUCUCUAUGUUAUUUGUUCCCAUCAACAUAGUGAUGAUAUGUGUCGAGGGAUGAUCAAUUGGUCAAAAUCACCCUUAACACUUACUUGCUCUUAAUCCCCUAAGGUGGAAUUAUUAGGUCGAGAGUAGAUAAAUUGUGUGAACCUGUCCCUUCUACUCUAAGUAAUGACCCAGGCAUAUAAGGAAGUUAAGAAAAGGAAUACCAUGAGUCGAUAAAGCAAAAAUGAAAAGAAAAGGAGAGCCAACCCCAUAAUUUAGAAAGUGCAUGAGGAUGCUUGCACAGGCCAAUUUACAGAUAAUUUCUUCGUCAUUUGUUUUUUUUUUCUUUACCCACAAUACUCUAAAAAUAAUGAAGUAGAGGCAUUAUACCCAUCCAUCAAAUGGCCGGGGAAUUUGGGAAGCCACAAAGAACAAACAGACUCCUAACUCCAACUUCAUUGACCAAGGAGGGAAAAAACUAGUGAUCUGGGAUCGUUCUACUACAAAGUUAGUCUUUCCCAUACUUUGUGUAUUUAAAUUGGUUCGACAUUUAGAUUUGUAAUGCGCAUACUUGUGGAUGAUCUAAGAGCACGCCUUUACCCCAAGCGAUGCAUGACGUUGCCUUGUUCAUGAGAACAAGAUGCCCUGGGAAAAGUUUCAGAAUGUGCCAAGAGUGGGUGAUGUCUAUAAGGGAAACGAGAGGUCCCCUGAGGAAGGGUUGUUAAUCAAGAUGCUACUCGGUGGUGAUGUGGGGCUUAAGGCUGAAUGCCCUAAUUGAUGUUAGGAAGGCUUUGAAAAUAUGGGAAGAAUCAUUUGAGACGGUUAAUGAAUCUUUUGUGCAUGUUGAUAUGCGUUGUUUGUUAUGCUUGUUGACAAGCCGAAGGUAAGACAUAUUUUGAUUGUAAGUCGGAAUUGAUCACAUGCAUAUAGUCGAGAUGUAGCAAUAGAUUUGCUAUUAAUCUACCAUCGAUGCACUAGCAUGAAUGAUGAUCAUAUGCUAUGUUCGACAACGAGACGUCCUCCUAUCUAAGAAUUAGUGAUUUUACUUACUAAGUUUUCGACUCCCCAUUGAUUUUCUCAAAUUUAUAGAUAUGGAAGUCUCACUCUUUGGAGCCAAGGCUACGCUAGAGGAGAUAGGAAUCUCCUGACCUACAAUUGAUAGAAGAUUAAUGUAAAUAAGAAUGUGUCCAUAAAAAAGAGUUUAUAAAAAUAUUGACACUGAAUAAAAGUAGUGUAUUUCGUGUUGUGUUUUCCUGACUACUUAAUUGUUGUAUUGUCUAGGAGAUAGUUGUUGUACACAUUCCGUAUGCUUAUAAUAACAAGAUAAACAGAAAAAAAAAAAAUACGGCUCGGCAAUCACUAUCUUAUUGCCAUUGCUUCGCUCAACACCUAUGUAUCAUCGACACGGACACGCGACACACGACACGGUAAAAGACUUUUAAAGAAAAAUGCUGAAAUGAUAUUUUUAAGUUUAUUUAUUUAUCAUAUAUAACAUUUUUUUAUUACUUCUUUCACAGUAAAAAACUUUUAAAACAAUAAAACAAUUCUAAAAAAAAAAAAAAAAAUUGACCAUGUGCGUGUCGGAAUCACAUGUCAGAAUUUUGGACUGAUGUGUCAAAGCGUGUCGGAGAAAAUUGACUACGUGUCGGAUUUUUCGACACUUGUUGACCGUGUGUCGAAGUAUCGGACACGAUACGAAAACUUUCGAAGAGUAUCCGUGCUACAUAGCUCAACACCAUCGCCAAGCUUGUGGCCGAUUGGUAGAGCUUAAUAAAGCGUCAUGCUCACCCCAUAUUGUAAUUGUAACCAUAGAAAGAGUUUUAGACUUGAUCAUGGGUUUCACUGUCAGAAAAAAUGUAUUGAAUAUACAAAGGAAGAUGGUGUAUUGUAAUAAUCAUAAAGAAAAGAGAAAAAAAAAAAAGAUUUGAGAUGUAUAGAUGCCAUUGAGAGAAAAGCAACGAAAUGAAGCACGUGUCGAAAAUAAAUUUAUAAUAAUGCUAACGAAAUGAACGCACAUGUCGAAAAUAAAUUUAAAAUAAUGCUAAGUGAGAAAGAAGAAAUAAUUUGUUUAUAUUUGGACGACAGACUUGGGAGGGAUUUCGAAAAACUUCACUAGUCCCCCGUAAUCCUUUCCCUCGAUUUCGACAAGAUUGUGUUUUCUGGAAUCGUGUCUCUCUUCCCGUUCAUCCGGUCCAUCCUUCGGCCGCCAUAGAUACAUGUUUGUCUGUUACGGUACGGACAAGAUUGCAUCAUGUCAGAUCCCAUGAACAAGUUGAGUGCGGAAGGACAAAGACCCAAAACGAAACACCCGCAGCCGCGACCACGACCAAAGCAGAAGAAAGACCCCUGAAGGCUGAAAAGUCAGUGUCGUACCCGAUGAAGCGAACUAUCUUAUAUGCGAACGUGGGCAGAUUUCCAUGAAGGCGAACGUACCGACAACCGAUUAUAGAACACAGCAAACGUGUUGUCUCCCUCCUCUCCCAUCGUCUCAAAGCUGCCACUUUCUGCUUUCACGUUGUCUUCCGAGCUCUCUUUCAUGGCUGGAAAAGGCGAACUCGCGUCUUUCUUCAUCUUUUUCCUUUGCCUCUACCCAUCUUUGGAGGAGCAAACGUGGGUCAAGUCCGGUUACUUCUACGCCGGCAGCGAAAUCCCGGUCUCGGACAUUGAUUCCUCCUUGUUCUCUCACCUCAUAUGCGCUUUUGCUUCCAUCGACUCUUCGGCCCAUCCGCUCUCCUUCAACUCCUCCUUUGAGCAAAUCUUCUCCACCUUCACGAGCACCGUGAAACGCAAGAACCCUUCGAUCACCACGCUGCUGUCAGUGUGGGCAGGCGGAGAGGAUCCUUCCGCUUUCGCUUCGAUGCUCGGCGAGUCUUCUUCAAGAAGGUCCUUUAUCGAAUCCACCAUAGAAAAGGCAAGGCUUUAUGCGUUCAGUGGGAUUGAUCUCUUUGGGGUCUGGCUCGGUAGGAGCAUUAACAUUACCAAUUUGAGUGUUCUUUUGGGAGAGUGGAGAGAUGGAGUAGAUGCCGAAUCGAGGAAAUCCGGGAAACCUCGGUUGCUGCUAGCGAUGGGUGUAUAUUGUCAGUCCAUUGUUGACUCUCUGAGUUUCCCACUUGAUUCAGUUCAGAGAUAUUUGGACUGGGUUCACCUAAUUGCUUACGAUUACCAUCUCCCCACCAGGGAAAAGUUUGCCCUCCCUCAUGCUGCUUUAUUUGACCCCGCAAGCC
rnacentral:lncRNA from 1 species